GGGUUGUGAGGUUAAGCGACUAAGCGUACACGGUGGAUGCCCUGGCAGUCAGAGGCGAUGAAGGACGUGCUAAUCUGCGAAAAGCGUCGGUAAGGUGAUAUGAACCGUUAUAACCGGCGAUGUCCGAAUGGGGAAACCCAGUGCAAUUCGUUGCACUAUCGUUAACUGAAUACAUAGGUUAACGAGGCGAACCGGGGGAACUGAAACAUCUAAGUACCCCGAGGAAAAGAAAUCAACCGAGAUUCCCCCAGUAGCGGCGAGCGAACGGGGAGCAGCCCAGAGUCUGAAUCAGCUUGUGUGUUAGUGGAACGGUCUGGAAAGUCCGACGGUACAGGGUGAUAGUCCCGUACACCAAAAUGCACAGGCUGUGAACUCGAAGAGUAGGGCGGGACACGUGGUAUCCUGUCUGAAUAUGGGGGGACCAUCCUCCAAGGCUAAAUACUCCUGACUGACCGAUAGUGAACCAGUACCGUGAGGGAAAGGCGAAAAGAACCCCGGCGAGGGGAGUGAAAAAGAACCUGAAACCGUGUACGUACAAGCAGUGGGAGCACCUUCGGGUGUGACUGCGUACCUUUUGUAUAAUGGGUCAGCGACUUAUAUUCUGUAGCAAGGUUAACCGUAUAGGGGAGCCGCAGGGAAACCGAGUCUUAACUGGGCGUUAAGUUGCAGGGUAUAGACCCGAAACCCGGUGAUCUAGCCAUGGGCAGGUUGAAGGUUGGGUAACACUAACUGGAGGACCGAACCGACUAAUGUUGAAAAAUUAGCGGAUGACUUGUGGCUGGGGGUGAAAGGCCAAUCAAACCGGGAGAUAGCUGGUUCUCCCCGAAAGCUAUUUAGGUAGCGCCUCGUGAAUUCAUCUUCGGGGGUAGAGCACUGUUUCGGCUAGGGGGUCAUCCCGACUUACCAACCCGAUGCAAACUACGAAUACCGAAGAAUGUUAUCACGGGAGACACACGGCGGGUGCUAACGUCCGUCGUGAAGAGGGAAACAACCCAGACCGCCAGCUAAGGUCCCAAAGUCAUGGUUAAGUGGGAAACGAUGUGGGAAGGCACAGACAGCCAGGAUGUUGGCUUAGAAGCAGCCAUCAUUUAAAGAAAGCGUAAUAGCUCACUGGUCGAGUCGGCCUGCGCGGAAGAUGUAACGGGGCUAAACCAUGCACCGAAGCUGCGGCAGCGACACUAUGUGUUGUUGGGUAGGGGAGCGUUCUGUAAGCCUGCGAAGGUGUGCUGUGAGGCAUGCUGGAGGUAUCAGAAGUGCGAAUGCUGACAUAAGUAACGAUAAAGCGGGUGAAAAGCCCGCUCGCCGGAAGACCAAGGGUUCCUGUCCAACGUUAAUCGGGGCAGGGUGAGUCGACCCCUAAGGCGAGGCCGAAAGGCGUAGUCGAUGGGAAACAGGUUAAUAUUCCUGUACUUGGUGUUACUGCGAAGGGGGGACGGAGAAGGCUAUGUUAGCCGGGCGACGGUUGUCCCGGUUUAAGCAUGUAGGCUGGUUAUCCAGGCAAAUCCGGAUAAUCAAGGCUGAGGUGUGAUGACGAGGCACUACGGUGCUGAAGUAACAAAUGCCCUGCUUCCAGGAAAAGCCUCUAAGCAUCAGGUAACAUCAAAUCGUACCCCAAACCGACACAGGUGGUCAGGUAGAGAAUACCAAGGCGCUUGAGAGAACUCGGGUGAAGGAACUAGGCAAAAUGGUGCCGUAACUUCGGGAGAAGGCACGCUGGUGUGUAGGUGAAGUCCCUGCGGAUGGAGCUGAGACCAGUCGAAGAUACCAGCUGGCUGCAACUGUUUAUUAAAAACACAGCACUGUGCAAACACGAAAGUGGACGUAUACGGUGUGACGCCUGCCCGGUGCCGGAAGGUUAAUUGAUGGGGUUAUCCGUAAGGAGAAGCUCUUGAUCGAAGCCCCGGUAAACGGCGGCCGUAACUAUAACGGUCCUAAGGUAGCGAAAUUCCUUGUCGGGUAAGUUCCGACCUGCACGAAUGGCGUAAUGAUGGCCAGGCUGUCUCCACCCGAGACUCAGUGAAAUUGAACUCGCUGUGAAGAUGCAGUGUACCCGCGGCAAGACGGAAAGACCCCGUGAACCUUUACUAUAGCUUGACACUGAACAUUGAGCCUUGAUGUGUAGGAUAGGUGGGAGGCUUUGAAGCGUGGACGCCAGUCUGCGUGGAGCCAACCUUGAAAUACCACCCUUUAAUGUUUGAUGUUCUAACGUUGGCCCCUUACCGGGGUUGCGGACAGUGUCUGGUGGGUAGUUUGACUGGGGCGGUCUCCUCCCAAAGCGUAACGGAGGAGCACGAAGGUUAGCUAAUCCUGGUCGGACAUCAGGAGGUUAGUGCAAUGGCAUAAGCUAGCUUGACUGCGAGCGUGACGGCGCGAGCAGGUGCGAAAGCAGGUCAUAGUGAUCCGGUGGUUCUGAAUGGAAGGGCCAUCGCUCAACGGAUAAAAGGUACUCCGGGGAUAACAGGCUGAUACCGCCCAAGAGUUCAUAUCGACGGCGGUGUUUGGCACCUCGAUGUCGGCUCAUCACAUCCUGGGGCUGAAGUAGGUCCCAAGGGUAUGGCUGUUCGCCAUUUAAAGUGGUACGCGAGCUGGGUUUAGAACGUCGUGAGACAGUUCGGUCCCUAUCUGCCGUGGGCGCUGGAGAAUUGAGGGGGGCUGCUCCUAGUACGAGAGGACCGGAGUGGACGCAUCACUGGUGUUCGGGUUGUCAUGCCAAUGGCACUGCCCGGUAGCUAAAUGCGGAAGAGAUAAGUGCUGAAAGCAUCUAAGCACGAAACUUGCCCCGAGAUGAGUUCUCCCUGAGACUUUAAGUCUCCUGAAGGAACGUUAAAGACGAUGACGUUGAUAGGCCGGGUGUGUAAGCGCAGCGAUGCGUUGAGCUAACCGGUACUAAUGAACCGUGAGGCUUAACCUUACAACGCCGAAG
rnacentral:rRNA from 1 species